rnacentral:rRNA from 1 species
UGUAAGCGUACACCAAAGUUGUUGCAGUUAAAACGCUCGUAGUCGGAAUUUGGCAGUUCCGGAUGUGUGCACGUCGUGUGCGCACUUCGCGGGGAUUGCUUUUGUGGUCUUGCGUAGGAUGAGGCACUUUUAUUAGUGAACGUCCUCACGCAACCACUUUUUACUGUGAGAAAAUCAGAGUGCUCAAAGCAGGCAUUUGCCGUGAAUGUAUUAGCAUGGAAUAAUAGAAUAGGACUUGGUUCUAUUUUGUUGGUUUGUUGGGACUGAGUAAUGAUUAAGAGGGACAGUUGGGGGCAUUUGUAUUUCGGUGCUAGAGGUGAAAUUCUUAGAUUACCGAAAGACAAACUGCUGCGAAAGCGUCUGCCAAGGAUGUUUUCAUUGA